CAAGGAAUUUUCCCCAAUGGCCGAAGGGCUGAGGGAGCAACGCCGCGUGGAGGACGACGGCCUUCGGGUUGUAAACUCCUUUGGUGGGAGACGACACAGACGGUAUCCCACAAACAAGCCCCGGCUAACUCCGUGCCAGCAGCCGCGGUAAGACGGAGGGGGCAAGCGUUGUCCGAACUUACUGGGCGUAAAGGGUCCGUAGGUGGCUCGGCACGUCGGAGGUGAAAGCGCCAGGCUUAACCUGGCAGGGUCUUCCGAUACGGCUGAGCUCGAGGACGGCAGAGGGUGGUGGAAUUCCCGGUGUAGUGGUGAAAUGCGUAGAGCUCGGGAGGAACACCAGUGGCGUAAGCGGCCACCUGGGCCGGACCUGACACUGAGGGACGACAGCGUGGGGAGCGAA
rnacentral:rRNA from 1 species